rnacentral:rRNA from 1 species
AUUGAACGCUGGCGGCAUGCCUUACACAUGCAAGUCGAACGGCAGCACGGGAGCAAUCCUGGUGGCGAGUGGCGAACGGGUGAGUAAUAUAUCGGAACGUGCCCAGUCGUGGGGAUAACGUAGCGAAAGCUACGCUAAUACCGCAUACGAUCUAUGGAUGAAAGCGGGGGAUCGCAAGACCUCGCGCGAUUGGAGCGGCCGAUAUCAGAUUAGGUAGUUGGUGAGGUAAAGGCUCACCAAGCCGACGAUCUGUAGCUGGUCUGAGAGGACGACCAGCCACACUGGGACUGAGACACGGCCCAGACUCCUACGGGAGGCAGCAGUGGGGAAUAUUGGACAAUGGGCGGCAAGCCUGAUCCAGCAAUGCCGCGUGCAGGAUGAAGGCCUUCGGUU